GUGGCGUGACGCAGUCCUGCAGGUGAAGCCAUCUGCGUGGGACUCGGUGGAGUGGAGCUGUAAGACUUUGAGCGAGACGGCUCUGCAGGAGCGGGGCCUGUUGCGGAGCUCGUGGGGAGAAUCGGGUCAGGGCAACGAGAACAACGCCAGAGGAGGGCAGAGCAACGGCUGGGGGCGAAACGGGCGCUCCGCAGCACAUCUUCCUGGUAUCAGUCACCCGGCUCGGGCUUCGCAUCUGAGAGGGCUGCUCCGAAAGUAAUGCCUCCGUUUUUAUGAUGUCGGCCCACGAUGUCGGUCGGUGUGUGACAACCGAGGAUGAACCUUCCCGCCAAUAUUCGGUGACAUUUUGUUGCUGUGAGACAGAUGGCAGCAGAGGGGCGGUCUGAGGGAACGGUGCCGGACAUGGAAGUCUUCCUCUUGAAGGAGGAGCGGCCCCUUCAAAACUGAGCUGGGUUCCCUGAGCUGUGCCCUGCUGCCAAGCCAGCCCCACACCGCUGCCCCUGCGUGAUCCAGGCUGUCAGAUGAAGGUUUUC
rnacentral:lncRNA from 1 species